UUCGAGUUAAAGGGCCGCGGUAUUCUGACCGUGCGAAGGUAGCAUAAUCAUUAGUCUCUUAAUUGGGGGCUUGUAUGAAUGGUUGGACAAAAAAUAAGCUGUCUCGGUUGUAUAUGUUGAACUUAACUUUUGAGUGAAAAGGCUCAAAUGUUUUAGGGGGACGAUAAGACCCUAUAAAGCUUUACAAUUAUUUAAUUAAAUUGUAAAUUGUUUAUUUAACAUGGUUUAGUUAAUGUUUGUUUCGUUGGGGCGACGGGAAUAUAAUUAGUAACUGUUCUUUAUGGAAAGACAAUAAUUUUUGGUAUUGUGAUCCUCUAUUAGAGAUUAAAAGAUUAAGUUACUUUAGGGAUAACAGCGUAAUCUUCUUUGAAAGUUCAUAUCGACAAGAAGGGUUGCGACCUCGAUGUUGAAUUAAGGUUUCUUUAUGGUGCAGCAGUCAUAAUGAGAAGGUCUGUUCGACCUUUAAUUCCUUACUGA
rnacentral:rRNA from 1 species